GCCUCGCUGUGGCGUCGUAAAAAAUUCUAUACGCUCGGCAACAAGGUGUGCUAACCGAUUCACAAUUGAAAAAACGAAGCUCGAUCUUGUGUCAUCUACCGCAUGCCAUCUUUAUCGGAUGAAAAAACCCAACUGCACGCUUCUAAAGGUUUUCAUCUGGGAUGAUAUAACCAUCAUAGCUUUCCAGUCAGAAAAUCAUCAUCAUCAAACAAACAUCAGUGGAACCAGGAUGGGGAGAAGCUGUAACAGUGUAAAGAUAUGUGUUUACACAUUAGUAAACAUCUUUGCCAAACACAAAUUUUUAUAUAGGUUUGCAACAAAUAAUGGGUCCAUAGCUGUUGUAUUGGGUACGUAUCCAUUUCUUGGGUGUGGCAUCCUUGUGGAAUUUACAGUGGGAAUCUUCAAUUUCAUCUUCUUACAUCCGUCCAAGCUAAAUAAGCAGAACACAGUUAGCCAUAUCACUAUUCCCCUCUACCCAAAUUAAACAGCUAAUGGGGAUGUUCAUUUUACAUAAUUUGAUAUUACUGUUAUGAAACAGAUAAUUCUGACUGGAUGAGCAGCGUUCCAAUCCAUUGUAAAAUGACCGUGAAUUGUAUAUUAAUGCACCAAGUUGCGAUGUUGCCUGGCAACUGCAAACUCCUACGGUUAGGAUCAUAUACAGUACUAUAUUACUAAGUGGUAAAAAUAGUUUAUUCUGGUAAUUGUGAUUGAUAAAAUUAACUUUUUAUUAAGCGUUGGUGUCUUUUAUCAUAUUGCUUUUGCCGACGUUGUAUCAAAAUCAUAAUUAAAUGCAUAUAAUCACAUAAUUAUCCUCCUUGCAUCAUGCCUAAACAUCCCUAACCCGUGGUAAAAUUACAGUAACAAACCACCUCUCACAGCUUAUUGCUUUAAUAUAGAAUGAUGAUUUCUGUAUCAUAAACUUCACUUCUAAACACUUGAUGACAUGAAACUGAGCUAAUUUUCACAACAAAUUGUCUGCCAAGAUCACCAUCUCAUUGCCCCCCCUGCCAGAAAAUACAGCUUAAGCUGGUAGCUGUGUUUUGGAACAUGGUAACUGGUUUCUAGCUGGUCAUGAGCUGGUCCAAGCUGGGAGACCAGCUUAGACCAGCUACCAGCUUGUCAUACCAGCUCAAGGUGAUCAAGCUGGUUUUUGGAACAUGGUAGCUGGUCAACCAGCUAAGGAACAGCUUGGAGUAGCUCAUGACCAAUUUGGACCAGCUUGGAUCAGCUAGAAACCAGCUACCAUGUUACAAAACACAGCUACCAGCUUAAGGUGGAUUUUCCAACAGGGCUGUUUUGCCAACCUUAUAUAUAUAUAUAUAUAUAUAUAUAUAUAUAUAUAUAUAUAUAUAUAUAUAUAUAAACGGACAUUGUGGUAGCUCGAAAGUGCAUCAUUCAGGGCCUGGGCUUUGAGAAGCAGUUGAGGCCUGUUAGUUCAUGUGCAGUCAGUCAGCCAGGCUCCCCUACUGUUAGAGAUUAAGCCAACAGGAAGUGGAAUACUGUGUAAAGAUGACGCUGCUAAAAUUAACCCGCUUGCUGCUAAAUGAUGACUGCAUUUAUAGUAGACAAGAAGGCUUUAGUAAGCGUACACAGUUGCUCUAUAUCCUGUGUUAAAUAGCUAAGAAAUGAACUUGGUUGUAUAGCAGACAGUAAAGGUUUUUUUUUUUUUGUUGUUUGUUUUUUUUUUUUUUCAUAUUGUUUCAUAGCCUUGUUUUGUUUUGUAUCCAAAAAAUAAAAGCUAGUUGUUUAUAUGGUUGUGAGAACCACAAGCUGAGUUUCCAUUCUUGUGUUUUUAUGCAAAUUUUUGGGAUAUUGCAUUAAUGCUGGAUGGAAACACUAAGAUGCAAAUAAGAUAUCCAAAAUACGCAUAAAAAAAACGCAUUCAGGUGGAUGCAUUUUUUGUUCAAUAAGAAGACAUGCGCAUAAACUAUGAUGAAAAUUUACCAAAUAUAUUCCUUUAGAUUCUAUAUGGGAAUAUAGCAAAAAAGUAAUGUGACUUUGCCUCAGCAAUCCAUGUGAAUACAUAAUUUGCUCAGAAAAUCCUGUCAAUGUCAUCGCAUCUCAAAUGUUGCUCUGGUUAUUCUGAAAUGCCAAGGCCUGUGAUCAAAAUGAUUGGCUACUAUUACCUCCCAGAAUUGUCUGACACGCUUUCACUCCCAGACAUAAGGCAUCUGCCGCUGAAUGCUAGAAAACAUGAAGUUUGUCAGAGCGUUUUGUCUGCGUGCUCUAAAUCGCAAGUCAUUACAUUUAAUAAAAGAGCCACUGUGCUUUAAUUUUGUCACAUUAGCCGAUUUUCCCAGCGAUUUUUCAGGUGUGAGCUUCAUUAACACAAUCGCCGGCCAGGCGGAGGGAGACGAAGUACGCAUUAGCGUCCGCCAGCGGAAGGUCGUUAAUCACUCGACCGUUUGGAUUCCCUGCUGAGUUAAAGGAAUAGUUCACCCAAAAAUGAAAAUUUGCUGAUAAUUUACUCACCCUCAGGCCAUCCAAGAUGUAUCUGAGUUUCUUUCUUCAUCAAAACAGAAUUUAAGACAUUUAGGAUUGCGUUUCAGGCCUCCUCCUCUAAAGAAUGCAAGUGAAUAUCCUCCAUUUUAGACGGUCUGAAAUGCAUAUUUAGGGUGUAUCAAAAUAAUCUACACGACUCCAGUCGACAAAUAAAGUUCUUCUGAACCCAAACGAUUG